AUUGAACGCUGGCGGCAUGCCUUACACAUGCAAGUCGAACGGUAACAGGUUAAGCUGACGAGUGGCGAACGGGUGAGUAAUGUAUCGGAACGUGCCCAGUCGUGGGGGAUAACUGCUCGAAAGAGCAGCUAAUACCGCAUACGACCUGAGGGUGAAAGCGGGGGAUCGCAAGACCUCGCGCGAUUGGAGCGGCCGAUAUCAGAUUAGGUAGUUGGUGAGGUAAAGGCUCACCAAGCCGACGAACGGUAGCUGGUCUGAGAGGACGACCAGCCACACUGGGACUGAGACACGGCCCAGACUCCUACGGGAGGCAGCAGUGGGGAAUGUUGGACAAUGGGCGCAAGCCUGAUCCAGCCAUGCCGCGUGCGGGAAGAAGGCCUUCGGGUUGUAAACCGCUUUUGUCAGGGAAGAAAAGGUUCUGGCUAAUACCUGGGACUCAUGACGGUACCUGAAGAAUAAGCACCGGCUAACUACGUG
rnacentral:rRNA from 1 species